rnacentral:lncRNA from 1 species
UUAGGAUUUGAUUAGGGUUUGGUUUAGGAUUUGGUUAGGGUUUGGUUUAGGAUUUAGGAUUUGGAUUAGGAUUUUGUUUAGGAUUUAGGAUUUGAAUAGGAUUUGAUUUAGGGUUUAGGGUUUGGUUAGGAUUUGGUUUAGAAUUUAGGAUUUGGUUUAGGAUUUGGUUUAGGAUUUGGUUUAGGAUUUGGUUAGGAUUUGGGAUUUGGAUUAGAAUUUGAUUAGAAUUUGAUUUAGGAUUUGAUUGGGGUUUGAUUUAGGAUUUAGGAUUUUAUUAGGAUUUAAGAUUCAAUUAGUUUUGGCCUAAAGUUUGAAUGAAGUUCAAUAGGAUUUUAACUAGAAUUAAAUUAAGAUUGAAUUGAGAUGUAUUUGAAUGACAUUUUUGUUCUUUCUAAUAUUUUAUUUAAAAAUUCUUAUUGUUUGUUUGAAAUUUCUUUGACAUUUUUUUGAAUUUGAUUAAGCUUGCUUAGUAUUAUUAUAGUCUAAUUAGAGCAUUGUUAGUAUUCUAUGAGAAUUAGGAUUUUUUUAUUGCAAUUUCUAUUCUUCCUUUGACAGCCCAGUGCCUGGAGCAUUCUCAAGGAAGACUUCACGUAUUA